rnacentral:lncRNA from 1 species
CCCCUAAAAAGAUAUGUUUACCUCCAAAUCCCUAGAACUUGUGCAUGUUACUUUAUUUGGAAAAUUGAUCUUUGCAGAUGUAAUGAAGUUAAGAAUCUUAAUAUAAGAUUAUCCUGGAAUACCUGACUGGGACCUAAAUCCAAUGACAACCGUCCUUAUAAGAAAAGUGGAGACACGUGGAGGCAAAGGUGCUGUGAACAUGAAGCUAGAGAUAGCAGUGAUGUGGCCACAAGCCAAGGAAGCCCGGGAAUGCCAACAGCCACCAAAAGCUGGAAGAGGUAGGGAGGGAUUCACCUCUAGAGACUCCAGAGGGUCAUGGCCCUGCUGACACCUUGAUUUCGGAAUCCCAGCCUCCAAAAUGGUGAGAGAAUAAAUUUCUGUUGUUUGAAGCCACCUGGUUUAUGAUGAUUUAUUACAGCAGCCCAGAGAAACUAAUACAGUACAGUGGGAACAGGGCCAAGGGAGGUGGUCAGCAGAAAUGAAGCACUGUCCGGAUGGUGUGAAAGUGAUCUAUGCUGUGGUCAGAACAGUGGAAGGCCAUGAACUUUGCCGGCGAGUGCCUUUGUUCUGAGUCAAAGUGUUCCUCGGUAUGUGAAGGACAUCAGGUCCAAAGGCUGCUAGUGACUGAACAGAUAACGUGAAUUCCAUCAAAGCUUGACUUCUGCUCAUCCCUACCUCUCCUCCCGAAGAUAGUACGGAAUUGCAAGGGAAGAAUUGGUCCACGUCUGUGAGAGGAGGCCUCUGAAACACGCUGACUUCACAGAGGAGAAGGAAUGAGCUCAAUUUCAGGCACCUCCUCCGGGGCGGUCAAGAGCAGAAUGAAGGAGAACAUGUAUGGCCCUAGGUUGGCCUUGAAGAAUUAGAGAAGCUGCUGGUGCCCCGCCCCCAACCUGGCCCAACAGCAGAGCCUCCGCUAGGGGGAGCCGUGGAGACCUGAUUUCCUCUGCGCCGCCUUUCCUAAUGAAUACCCCAGGGGAGCUCCUGGCAGCACCCUGUGGAAUGGCCCCGCGGAGCUCUGGCCCCUGGAAUUUGCCCUUCACAAUUAUGCUCCCUGCUGGGAGAAGUAUAAAUAUGGAUGGAGCGUGGCGUCUUUAAACAUGGCACAAGAGUAGAGGAACAACCAAGUCCAAAUGAUAAUAUUUUGAAACGCCACGGGGAGCCUCUGCUGCUGUUGAGUUAGAAUUGCUUCUCUUUCAUGUGAUUAAAGAAGCCCUUGUGGGUUUUUGCUUUUCCUUAGAGACAUACCAUGGUUUCUCCCCCCGCACUACAGCACUGAACGAUUUUUAAGGUUUCUAAGUGCACUCCAUUUACAUUUCCUACUCAUUCUCUAAAUGAAAGGCAGGCUAAAACACAUUAAUGAGCUUCCUGAUUACUGCAGCCCUUGAGAAAUUAAUUAAUGACAAUGCAGCCACACUUAACAUUCCUCCUCCUUUCUGAGUUUGGAAAGCGGGAGGAGCUGCGCUUUAAUCCACGCCCAACCAAGAGCCACCAUGUGUCUUUAGCCGAAGAGUUGGUUUGCCAGGACACAUUUCAGAUUGCCUUUCCUAGAGAAAAGCCAUUCCCUGAAUAAUUAAGAGACAGCAUCUUUUCCAUUGUCUGGAAUUUUUUUUUACCCUAAAUUAGGUGGUUUAAGCUGGUAGAUGUUGGGUAUGACUUGUUUCUUUUCUUUUCUUUUCUCUUUUUUAAGUAAAUAAGUGUCAAGCACCAGCAUUUACCUGGCCCUUCCCUUAUAAUAAUAGCCAACACUUUAAAGUUGCUUGUCAGGGACUGUUCCAACUGCUCUGUCUUUCUUUGCCUCUCUCUGUGUGUACAUAUUUACUUAUUAAAUCUCACAAUAACCCUGGGGUAGGUGGUAUUAUUAUCCCCUAUUUACAAAGAGUGAAGAAGAAGAACAAGACAUAUCCACGGAUCUACCAGCUAAAACUACCUAAUUUAGGACUUUAAAAAAUUCCUAAGCCAUUAAAAAAGAUGCCAUCACUGAAGAACAUACAGUGAGAAAGUGGAAGAGCCAUGAUCUGAACUCAAAGGGAUUGGCUCAGAAUCCAUGCCUUAGCCAGUAACUACAUCUACAGCCAGCCAUAUGUACAUUUGUAUCUUGAGUUGUUUUUAUUUUUUAAUCUGUGUUUAUUUUAUUAUUUAUUUUCUAUUGUAUAUAUUUAAGGUAUACAACAUGAUGUUUUGAUAUACAUAGUGAAACGAUUAUUGCAGGUAAGCAAAUUAACGUAUUCAUCACCUUCCCUACCUUCUCUAGUUACCCUGUUUUCAGUAAGAGCACCUAAAAUCUAGUCUCUUAGCAACUUUUCAAUAUACAAGACUGUAUGAUUAACUAUAGUCCUCCUGCUGUAUGUUGGAUUUUUAAAUUUAUCCUUCCCACAUAACUUUGUACCUUCUGACAAACUCCCCAUUUCUUUCCCCUCCCCACCCUUGGUAACCACUGUUCUACUCUGUUUCUAUGUAUUAGACUUUUUGUUAGAUUCCACAUACAAGUGAGAUCAUGCAGUAGUUUUCUUUCUGUAUCUGUCUUACUUUUUAGCAUAAAGUACUCCAGGUUCAUUCAUGUUGUAGCAAA